rnacentral:rRNA from 1 species
UACGUAGGGUGCAAGCGUUAAUCGGAAUUACUGGGCGUAAAGCGUGCGCAGGCGGUUUUGUAAGUCUGUCGUGAAAUCCCCGGGCUCAACCUGGGAAUGGCGAUGGAGACUGCAAGGCUAGAGUUUGGCAGAGGGGGGUAGAAUUCCACGUGUAGCAGUGAAAUGCGUAGAGAUGUGGAGGAACACCGAUGGCGAAGGCAGCCCCCUGGGUCAAAACUGACGCUCAUGCACGAAAGCGUGGGGAGCAAACAGG